rnacentral:rRNA from 1 species
AUUGAACGCUGGCGGCAGGCUUAACACAUGCAAGUCGAGCGGAGAUGAGGUGCUUGCACCUUAUCUUAGCGGCGGACGGGUGAGUAAUGCUUAGGAAUCUGCCUAUUAGUGGGGGACAACAUUCCGAAAGGGAUGCUAAUACCGCAUACGUCCUACGGGAGAAAGCAGGGGAUCUUCGGACCUUGCGCUAAUAGAUGAGCCUAAGUCGGAUUAGCUAGUUGGUGGGGUAAAGGCCUACCAAGGCGACGAUCUGUAGCGGGUCUGAGAGGAUGAUCCGCCACACGGGGACUGGGACACGGCCCAGACUCCUACGGGAGGCAGCAGUGGGGAAUAUUGGACAAUGGGGGGAACCCUGAUCCAGCCAUGCCGCGUGUGUGAAGAAGGCCUUAUGGUUGUAAAGCACUUUAAGCGAGGAGGAGGCUACUGAGACUAAUACUCUUGGAUAGUGGACGUUACUCGCAGAAUAAGCACCGGCUAACUCUGUGCCAGCAGCCGCCGUAAUAC